UACAGAGGGUGCGAGCGUUGUCCGGAAUCACUGGGCGUAAAGGGCGCGUAGGCGGUUUGUCGCGUCUGCUGUGAAAACUGGAGGCUCAACCUCCCAGCCUGCAGUGGAUACGGGCAGGCUAGAGUUCGGUAGGGGAGACUGGAAUUCCUGGUGUAGCGGUGAAAUGCGCAGAUAUCAGGAGGAACACCGGUGGCGAAGGCGGGUCUCUGGGCAGUAACUGACGCUGAGGAGCGAACGCGUGGGGAGCGAACAGG
rnacentral:rRNA from 1 species